CGGACUUAAAUUUUCCCCGUGACAGCACUGUGGCAUGAAGAAGCAUCAGAUGAAGAUGAACUGGUACUCCCGCUGGGAUUGUACGGUUCAUCCCCAAUCCGAGAGAGCUUCCUCUUCUCCCUCUCCACCUCGCUGCGGACCUCCUCGAUGGCCUUGUUGACCAACUCCAGAGCACCACUGAGGUCUCCUGAGGCAGCUGGCUUUCCAUUCUGCUGCACCUGGGGCCUCACAACUUCUGGGUUGAAAGGAUCAUAACCUUGAUCUGUAGGGAUGCAAGAAAAACAGUCUUAAUAAAAUUGACCGAUAGAAUAAUAAAAGGUCCACUUACCCAC